GAAGAAAUGUUCUAGGAUGAGGGUGGUGAAGCCCAGGAACACGUUGCCCAGAGAGGUGGUAGAUGCCCCAUCCCUGGAAACAUUCAAGGUCAGGCUGGACGGGGCUCUGAGCCACCUGAUCUAGUUGAAGAUGUCCCCGCUCACUGCGGGGGGGUUGGUCUAGAUGGCCUUUAAAGCUCUCUUCCAAGCCAAACCAUUUUGUGAUUCUA